rnacentral:lncRNA from 1 species
GCCGGAAAUACGUGUCUGGAAUCACACUAAACCAGCGUCUAUAGAGGCUCUGAAGAUCGGUGAGACACAUCCUCUUAUUCACUUCCGCUUUUCCAACUCCAAUCUUCGGCCUUUGACUUUCCCGAAAAGGCAUUCAUUCAUUGUUCGUUCUGAGGUGGAUUCGAACCACGUUUCGAUUUCUAGUCCAAACGGCCCAGCGAAAGAGGAUUUUCAGUCCCGCGCUGUCAGAACCUCCAGGGAUUUCUCCC